rnacentral:snRNA from 1 species
UCAAAUGCGCAGUGGCAGUAUCACAGCCAAUGAGGUUUAUCCGAGGCGCGAUUAUUGCUAAUCAUUGUUUACUAAUAUAGAUCACCAUGAAUUCUGUUCUUGGGUCUAAAUUGAUGAAAACUAGUAUAAUAC